rnacentral:rRNA from 1 species
AUUGAACGCUGGCGGCAUGCCUUACACAUGCAAGUCGAACGGUAACAGGUCUUCGGAUGCUGACGAGUGGCGAACGGGUGAGUAAUACAUCGGAACGUGCCCGAUCGUGGGGGAUAACGGAGCGAAAGCUUUGCUAAUACCGCAUACGAUCUACGGAUGAAAGCAGGGGACCGCAAGGCCUUGCGCGGACGGAGCGGCCGAUGGCAGAUUAGGUAGUUGGUGGGAUAAAAGCUUACCAAGCCGACGAUCAGUAGCAGGUCUGAGAGGAUGAUCUGCCACACUGGGACUGAGACACAGCCCAGACUCCUACGGGAGGCAGCAGUUAGGAAUAUUGGACAAUGGGCGAAAGCCUGAUCCAGCCAUGCCGCGUGUGUGAUGAAGGCCCUAGGGUUGUAAAGCACUUUCGUUGGGGAUGAUAAUGACCGUACCCAAAGAAGAAGCACCGGCUAACUUCGUG